GACGAACGCUGGCGGCGUGCUUAACACAUGCAAGUCGAACGGUAAGGCCCUUCGGGGUACACGAGUGGCGAACGGGUGAGUAACACGUGGGUGAUCUGCCCUGCACUUCGGGAUAAGCCUGGGAAACUGGGUCUAAUACCGGAUAGGACUCCGGACUGCAUGGUCUGGGGUGGAAAGCUUUUGCGGUGCUGGAUGGGGCCGCGGCCUAUCAGCUUGUUGGUGGGGUGAUGGCCUACCAAGGCGACGACGGGUAGCCGGCCUGAGAGGGUGACCGGCCACACUGGGACUGAGAUACGGCCCAGACUCCUACGGGAGGCAGCAGUGGGGAAUAUUGCACAAUGGGCGCAAGCCUGAUGCAGCGACGCCGCGUGAGGGAUGACGGCCUUCGGGUUGUAAACCUCUUUCAGCAUCGACGAAGCGAAAGUGACGGUAGGUGCAGAAGAAGGACCGGCCAACUACGUGCCAGCAGCCGCGGUAA
rnacentral:rRNA from 1 species